UCCAAAAAUAUUCUCCCUUCUCUUUAUAUAAAAAAAACCCUACAAAGUAACUUUAUCUCAUAAAUAACUCUGCCAAAACCCCUUUCCUUGUCUUUCUGGUUUCUUCUUUAACAUCAUUGUAAGUUGUAACUCAUCUGGUCGUAGCCCCGAACCUAUCAUAGCCUUGUUGUCCCAAGGAUGCUCUGUAGCUCAUUUGGUCGCCAGGGAAUUGCAAGAGCUCUUUCAUGAGAAAAUCCAAAUUCUUCCUCAGCCUGUUUUAGC
rnacentral:lncRNA from 1 species